rnacentral:rRNA from 1 species
AACUUUCAGCAACGGAUCUCUUGGCUCUCGCAUCGAUGAAGAACGCAGCGAAAUGCGAUAAGUAAUGUGAAUUGCAGAAUUCAGUGAACCAUCGAAUCUUUGAACGCACCUUGCGCCCUUUGGCUAUUCCGAAGGGCAUGCCUGUUUGAGUAUC